rnacentral:rRNA from 1 species
UUUCGCAAUGCCCGAAAGGGUGACGAAGCGACGCCGCGUGUGGGAAGAAGGCCUUCGGGUUGUAAACCGCUGUUGGGAGUUAGGAAGUGUGGGAGUGUUAAUAGCGCUUCCACUUGACUAAAGCUCCAGAGGAAGCCACGGCUAACUCUGUGCCAGCAGCCGCGGUAAUACAGAGGCGGCAAGCGUUGUUCGGAAUUAUUGGGCGUAAAGAGCACGUAGGCGGCUCUGCAAGUCAGCUGUGAAAGCCUUCUGCUUAACGGAAGAACAGCAGUUGAAACUACAGGGCUUGAGUGUGGGAGGGGAGAGUGGAACUUCUGGUGGAGCGGUGAAAUGCGUAGAUAUCAGAAGGAACGCCGGCGGCGAAAGCGGCUCUCUGGUCCGUAACUGACGCUGAGUGUGCGAAAGCUAGGGGAGCAAACGGGAUUAGAUACCCCGGUAGUCCUAGCCGUAAACGAUGGGCACUAAGUAGAGGGGUUUU